rnacentral:lncRNA from 1 species
UGGGGGCACUUAUGGGGUCUUGGGGGCAGAUAUGGGAUCAGAGGGGUCACAUUUGGGGGGCUUGGGGGUCUUGGGGGGCAGUUAUGGGGUCAGUGGGGUCACAUUUGGGGCAAUUGGGGGUCUUGGGGGGCAGAUAUGGGGUCAGAGGGGUCACGUUUGGGGCAAUUGAGGGUCUUGGGUGGCAGAUAUGGGGUCAAAGGAACUGCAUUGGGGGCACUUAUGGGGUCUUGGGAGGAGAUACGAGGCCAGAGGGACCACAUUUGGGGUCCUUGGGGGCACAUAUGGGAUCAGAGGGGUCACAUUUGGGGCAAUUGAGGGUCUUGGGGGGCAGAUAUGGGGUCAAAGGAACUGCAUUGGGGGCACAUAUAAGGUCUUGGGGGCAGAUACGAGGCCAGAGGGACCACAUUUGGGGUCUUUGGGGGUCUUGGGGGCAGAUAUGGGGUCAAAGAAGUGCAAAGGGGGCACUUAUGGGGUCUUGGGGGGAGAUAGGAGGCCAGAGGGACCACAUUUGGGGUCCUUGUGGGUCUUGAGGGGAACAUAUGGGGUCAGGGGAACUGCGUUUGGGGUGCUCAGGGGUCUUGGGAGGCGGAUAUGGGGUUUAAAGAACCGGUUUUGGGGUGCUUGGGGAGCAGAGAUGGGGCAAAAGGAAACAAGUUUGGGGUCGGAGGAGAUUUGGGGGGCAAGGGGGAUGGGGGGGCAA